UCGCGAAAACUUUGCAAUAAGCGAAAGCUUGACAGGGCUAUCCCGAGUGCCAUCCGCUGAGGAAGGCUUUUACCCAGUCUAGAACGCUGGGAGAAUAAGGAGAGGGCAAGUCUGGUGUCAGCCGCCGCGGUAAUACCAGCUCUCCGAGUGGUGUGGAUGUUUAUUGGGCCUAAAGCAUCCGUAGCUGGCCAGGCAAGUCCCCUGUUAAAUCCACCGAAUCAAUCGUUGGAUUGCGGGGGAUACUGCCCGGCUAGGGGACGGGAGAGGCCGACGGUAUUUCCGGGGUAGGGGUGAAAUCCUAUAAUCCCGGGAGGACCACCAGUGGCGAAGGCUGUCGGCUAGAACGCGCCCGACGGUGAGGGAUGAAAGCUGGGGGA
rnacentral:rRNA from 1 species